CUCACAAUCCCUUUGAUAAGAUCUCAGAGUGCAGAAGUUCUGAUCCAAAGAUUAGAGCAAUCACUAGCUGGGACCACGGCCUUUCUUUUCAGCUAUACUCUAGAAACUCUUUCUCCUUUGGACUCUGAAGUAUACAGAAGUAAAUAAGAGUUGUGUCUGUCUCCGAGAACUUUCAAUAUGAUAGAAAGAACAGAUGUGUGCAUAACAAGGGUUGCAUGAUGACUGCUGCAUCUCCAGCCAUCACAUCCUAAUCAAAGCAAAAAGAGCUAGAAGAGAUGAUGCCAAUCAUGUAUCUCCUUUCAUUCAAAAACAAAAGCUUGCCAAUAAA